GAUACCCUAUUAUUUUAAUUGUAAUUUUUAAAACUAAAUGAUUAAUAGUUAAGUUCUUUAAAGUUAAAUAAUUUGGCGGUAUUUUAGUCUUUUCAGAGGAACCUGUCCUAUAAUUGAUAACCCACGUUUAAUUUUACUUAAAUUAGAAAUUUAUAUAUCGUCGUGAAAAAUAUUUUUUUAGAAUUUAAUAUUUUUAAUAUAUGAUUUUAUAGAAAUUCAGAUCAAGGUAUAGUUUAUAUUUAAGAAGAGAUGGGUUACAAUAAGCUUAUUUAUGGAAAUAAAAUUUAAAAUUUUAUAGAAAUUGGAUUUGAAAGUAAUUAAAUUUAU
rnacentral:rRNA from 1 species